UGUAACAUGUACGCGAGUCAUUGGGACAGUACGAAACCUAAAGGCGAAAUGAAAGUAAAGGUCGCGGCGCGAGCCCGGCCCAAAGAGGGGAGACGUGCGCGCAGCGGCCUCGGCCACGCCGUACCGCACCCCCGGGGUCUCUCGCACCCCCGGGGUCUCUCGUUCUCAUUGCGAGACAGUAGGCGCACCCAGAGCGCACACGUUGGGACCCGAAAGAUGGUGAACUAUGCCUGGUCAGGUCGAAGUCAGGGGAAACCCUGAUGGAGGACCGUAGCGAUUCUGACGUGCAAAUCGAUCGUCAGAGCUGGGUAUAGGGGCGAAAGACUAAUCGAACCAUCUAGUAGCUGGUUCCUUCCGA
rnacentral:rRNA from 1 species